UCGUGUUCCUCUGGUUAAACAGACAGAGCUUCUAGAAGCCUGAGAUCGUGUUCCUCUGGUUAAACAGACAGAGCUUCUCCUCAGCCUGCUGGCAAACAAAAACAGCCCACUGUCCGACUGGUCCACCUAGAAGGCUCUCUGACGCUGUCACACGCUGUGUUGCUCUCUGGUCUGGUAAUCUAAUGGUGUGUCCUUACUAAACUGGAUGGGGACGUGCCGUGGUUGGAUCUCUCUUUUUAACUGUGAACGGUAGCAGUCCAGUUCAGUCCCCACCCCCAUAGCGCUGAGCUCAUCUAUCAGCCUAAUCACCAGUCACUCUCUCUCACUCAGUCUAACACACAUCUUUAUCAGCAGCCUCUGUGUGUGUAGAGGCACUGGGCUGUGAUCAGGUGUCUCCUAAAAAGGCAAUAACCUCGUCCCCAGAACUCCAGGGCUACUGCCAGGGCUGGAGGGUUAGAGGGCUGGGGGGUCAGAGGACUGGGGGGGUUAGAGGGCUGGAGGGUUAGAGGGCUGGAGGGUUAGAGGGCUGGAGGGGUAGAGGGCUGGAGGAAGGGAGGAUAGGAGGGUUAGAGGGCUGGAGGGUUAGAGGGCUGGAGGGUUAGAGGGCUGGAGGGUUA
ensembl:lncRNA